rnacentral:rRNA from 1 species
AUGGUUCGAGAGGAGGUAGCAGGAUCCACUCAAACACUACAGUGGAAGUGUGUUGAAUCAAGAGUAGAUAGUAAGUGCCUUUAUUAUGGUCAUUUCAUUCUGUCCCCGCUUAGAAAAGGUCAAGCGGACACCGUCGGUAUUGCCUUGCGAAGAGCUUUACUUGGAGAAAUAGAAGGAACAUGUAUCACACGUGCAAAAUUUGGGAGCGUGCCGCACGAGUAUUCUACAAUAGCAGGUAUUGAAGAAUCCGUACAAGAAAUUUUACUAAAUUUUGAAAGAAAUUGUAUUGAGAAGUGA